GAAACAAAUUAUUUAACGGUUUUGCUUUCAAAAGUAAUUUCCCUUCACUAGGCCUUCAUCCAUUGGCAAGGUUUUCCAUGCUGAAAGAUUGGCUUUGGCUACAUUUAAUACAAAACCUAAAUAACAGUGGCUUAAGCAAGAUAGGAUUUACUUCAUCUCUUGUAGAAAGAGACCAGAAAAAGGAAUUUCAGGCAUAGUUCAGUAGGGUAGCUCAGGGCCAUAUCUGGCACAAACCAGGGGUUUGAAUGUGUGUCAGGUAAAUUUUAAAAACCCCAAGUAAUCGACUCAGAGGUGUUAGGCCAAGGUCUCUGUGAUUCCCUUUGCCUCUCCCUCAUUGUUGAUUAUAAAAUGGCCACUGCAGCUCCAGUCACCUCUUUAUUCUCGACAGGAAAAAUAAACAGGCAAGGACAAGAGGGAUGGACCAAGCCUGAAGUCCUUUUAAGGAAGACACCACCUACCACCACCAUGGGUGAUAGGCUGUCAUCACUACUACAACAUCUGCCUAUGCAUCCUUGAAUAUAAACAGGUACUUAAAAGCACAGCAUUGACAACAACAAAAAAUGCUUUCCUUUUGGCUUGAAAGAAGGCAAUAAGAAGAAAGAUUUUAGGAGCUGAGCUGGAAAUUAAGAAGAAAGCCUCAAGGUUCUGUGAGCAUGAACCUACUUAAGGGGUCUUGCCUCCAAGACAGUAUUUAGGAUAUAUGGAAAGAAGCACAGGAAAAAAAGGUAUGUAUCAGUUAGAGUUGCAACAUGUACCUUAGAUGUUUCUUUGAAAAAUCUUGCCUUGUAUGACUUCCUUUAAUGUUAUCCAACUGUAGUAGUUAUGAAGAAGAAUUUUUUUAAUUAAAAAAGAUCCAUAAUGAUCAGUCUGAAAGGAUUGGCUAUGCAGCUGAAUUAUACAUAUUUGAACACUGUCUAUUGAGGGUUUUUAGAGGAUGGUCAAUAAAUGACACCUGCUUGCUCUCCUAAGUAUGAAGGCAAAUAAGGACCGAAAUCAGGCCCAGCGCGGUGGCUUAUACCUGUAAUUCCAGCGCUUUGGGAGGCUAAGGCGGGAGGAUCGCUUCAGCCCGAGAGUUAAAGGCCACAGUGAGCUAUGAUUGCACCAGGGCACUCCAGCCUAGGUGGCAGACUCUGUCCCAAAAAAACAAAACAAACAAACAAAAAUCAGAAGUCAGAGAGAUAAAAGUCUAAAUAUUAUCUUUAUUAUCUAAAAAGUGGACUGGAAGAUUUGGCCUUAGAUCUGUGGCCAAAUUUGCUUGCUAAUAUUUUACCUCUAAAUUAAAAAGUCCCAGAUACUACCAUAGUGGAACAGCCACAGGCUGCAAUUUAUUUGCAAUAAUUGUGGAUCAUAAAAGUUCACUCUCUCAUGAGAAAAUGCCCUUCUUCUGGUUUCCCGAAAGAUUAUUCCACUCUGUAUCAGUUUAUACCCUAAGUUACCUCAUCUUUCAAACGACAGGCUAAUGUUGUGCCUUUCCAUUUGAGACAAGGUGAUCUCUUUUUUCCCCAGCUAACAAAGGGAGACUCCAUUUUGCCUAAAUAAGACUUCCUGAAGUUGUUUUUUGUUUGUUUGUUUUGAGGUCUUACUCUGUCUCCCAAGCUGGAGUGAAGUAGUGCAAUCACAGCUCACUACAGGCUUGAACUCCUGAGUUCGAGCCAUCCUCCCAUCUCAGCCUCCCUAGUAGUUCUAGGACUGAAGAUGCAUGCCACCACAACCAGCUAUUUUUUUUUUUUUAAUGGAGAUAGGAUCUUCCUGGUCUUGAACUCCUGGCCUCAAAUGAUCCUCCAGCCUUGGCUUCCCGGAGUCCUGGGUAGAACCCAGAGGGAUUCAGAUGUAGGUGAGCCACCACAGCCAACCAAGUUUGUGUUUUCUUCUUAAGGUGCUUAAGCUCAAAUUGUAUCCAUUUCAAAUGGAUUGUAUUGUCCCCAAAAGCCAUGGCUAAGUUGGAAUGCUUUGUGUAAAAUCACAGGAGAUAAAAUAAUAAGUAAAAACAUGGGAACGUUACUAUAGAAAGUCCUGGUGACAGUGAAAGAACAAUAUUAACUUAGUUGGCUAAUGUUUAAUGAGUACCUGCUGCAUGCUGGGCACAGUUCUAGGCACUGGAUGAUUGCAGUGAGCAAGAAGCUUCCACUUUAAGUUGGCAAUGAUAUUUUAAUUGAGGAGAGCAACAGUGAACACUGGAACACAAUAUAAGAUGUGAAAUCUAAGCUAUGAGGACAAUAAAACAGGGUAAUGUAUCAGAGAGUGAUGUUAGGGGGUGGACAGCUUUAUAUUUUUCAAUCAUACUCUCAAUAACCUCAGGAGUCUUCUCUUCAAAAAAUGAGGAAUCGCACAAUUUCUUCACUAGCAACAACCUUUCUUUUCCUGUAGUCUCAACUCUUUCUCUCCAUUGGCUCCUUUCCCCAAACAGUAAACAUCCUAAAAAUAUACACAUAUGCACACGCUUAUAAAUACACAAAACAGAGCCACAAAAAUAAAACCCCUCUUGCUCCUAAAUAUGUAUCUAGUUUUAGCCAUGUUCUUUUUCUCUUCUCAUUCACACUUCCAGAAAAAGUAGUUUAGGCCCCCACUGUCUUCAUUUUCAUAAGUCACAUUCAUCCCAUAACCCACUAAAAUCCAACUUCUGUCUGCUCCAUGCCAUUGAAACUGUUCUUGCUGAGGCAGGGCCACUGCAUACUGCUGGGUAGGUUGUGUAUAUACAUCCCUGGUUAAAAUUUUAUUGACCUUUGUAUUGCCAAAUCUAAUAAAUACUUUUCUGUCUUUAUUCUAUUGCAUGGCUCAGAUUCAUUAAACACUACUAGUCAUUCUUCCAUUCUCAAAAACCUUGGCUUUGUCAAAGACUGGAAACAACACAACUGUCCAUUCCUAGAGGUCUAGCUGAAUUAACACGAUGGAGUACUUUGGAGCUAUAACAAAGUGUUAGGUCUGUUUUCUAUAUGCUACAGAGAGUAAUUGCCAGGAUAUAUUGUUAAGUGAAAAAAGUUGAGUAGAGAAAAAAUAUGUAUUGUAUGUUGUCAUUUAUUUUUAAAAGGUGAGGGAUAUGAAUAUAUACAUGUUUGAUCAUAAAAAACAAUAAUGGAAGGAUAAACAAAAAAUGUUUUAAAGUUACAUAGAGGGCAGAGGGAAAGAAAGGUAGAAAAAACAGGAUGGAAGCUAGAUUUCUCUGAAUAUACCAUGUUUUGUGGAUUUGACUUUGAACCCUGG
rnacentral:lncRNA from 1 species